AGAACGUUUGACUAGGUAUUUCAACGCUACCACGAAAACCCUCUGCCGUACCUGUUUUCCCCGACGAUCGCCCCGAUUUGGCCGGGCGGCGGCGCCGCGCGAUCCAAACGCGCCAAAUUUUGGGCCGCGUGCCCCUCAGAAACGGAGGAUAUGUGACUGAAGCGGCACAAAUAGAACCUUUUUUGACGCUAUGGAUGAAGAAUUUCAAGCCAGGUUCCUACCGACCAGGCGAGGUUGUCGCAGUUGGUACUGAGAUUCAGUCGCAGAAGAUGGCUCAGAAACAGUGACACUUACCUCCUUCCAUCUUGUUGCAGGUGGAGUGUAGAUUGCACCAAGUACCAGAUGUAGCUGAUAUAAGACUGGAGAGCGGAGCGGA